AUACGGAGGAUCCGAGCGUUAUCCGGAUUUAUUGGGUUUAAAGGGUGCGCAGGCGGCCAUUUAAGUCAGCGGUUAAAUCGUGGGGCUCAACCCCAUUCUGCCGUUGAUACUGGGUGGCUUGAUUGCGGUCGAGGUUGGCGGAAUUCGUUGUGUAGCGGGGAAAUGCAUAGAUAUGACGAAGAACACCGAUUGCGUAGGCAGCUGGCCAGACCGCAAAUGACGCUCAUGCACGAAAGUGCGGGGAUCGAACAGGAUUAGAUACCCUGGUAGUCCGCACAGUAAACGAUGAAUACUUGUUUUCGGCGAUAUAAUGUCGGAGGCAAAGCGAAAGCGAUAAGUAUUCCACCUGGGGAGUACGCCGGCAACGGUGAAACUCAAAGGAAUUGACGGGG
rnacentral:rRNA from 1 species